GAUGAACGCUGGCGGCGUGCCUAAUACAUGCAAGUCGAACGAACAGACGAGGAGCUUUCUCCUCUGACGUUAGCGGCGGACGGGUGAGUAACACGUGGAUAACCUACCUAUAAGACUGGGAUAACUUCGGGAAACAGGAGCUAAUACAGGAUAAUAUAUUUAACCGCAUGGUUCAAUAGUGAAAGACGGUGUUGCUGUCACUUAUAGAUGGAUCCGCGCCGCAUUAGCUAGUUGGUAAGGUAACGGCUUACCAAGGCAACGAUGCGUAGCCGACCUGGGAGGGUGACCGGCCACACGGGAACGGGGACACGCUCCGGACUCCUAGGGGAGGCAGCAGUAGGGAACUUUCGGCAAUGGGCGAAAGCCUGACGGAGCAAGGCCGCGUGAGUGAUGAAGGUCUUCGGAUCGUAAAACUCUGUUAUCAGGGAAGAACAAAUGUGUAAGAAAAUAUGCACGUCUUGACGGUACCUAAACAGAAAGCCACGGCUAACUACGUG
rnacentral:rRNA from 1 species